rnacentral:rRNA from 1 species
AACAUAAUAAUUACAACUUUCAACAACGGAUCUCUUGGUUCAGGCAUCGAUGAAAAACGCAGCGAAAUGCGAUAAGUAGUGUGAAUUGCAAAAUUCAGUGAAUCAUCGAAUCUUUGAACGCACAUUGCGCCCUUUGGUAUUCCAAAGGGCAUG